AUAGAGCAAAGCAAAACAAUAGAGGUCAAUCUGAAGUUAACUUAGAAAUACUUGACUAGUUGGAGUCUUUAUAGAACACAACACGAUAUGCUUGAGAUUAAAAUGUGAAGUAAAAAACUAAAGACGUACAUUCAAACACGACAUGCCUGAAUAGAGAGCAUACAUUGACAAUACACACAUAUUAUUGAGAAACUAAAUAAUUAUUCUAUGCUUGAUCACCUCCAAAAUGCUGAAAUAUAUGUUCAACCAAGUCUGCUUUGAGACGACGAUGCAUAUCUCGAUUCCGAAUAUCUUCUUCUAUCUCUAGAGCUCUAGCAAACCCAUGAAUUGGCCCAUGUCCAUAAUUUAACAGUGGCGUGGAGGUACCAUUGUCAUAGUCAUACUCGUAGUCAUCAUCAUAGAGAACUCUAAAAGUAUCCCUUUCAUCCUCCACAAUCAUGUUGUGUAAUAUAAUACAUGCAUACAUAAUCUCAGCGAGUGAUUGCACUUGCCACAUAGAGCUGGGCUUCUUAGAAUGGCAAAGCGAGCUUGCAAAACACCAAAUGCACGCUCGACAUCUUUUCUUGCUCCCUCUUGACGUUCUGCAAAUAUUUUGUCUUUGCUGCAUUGAGAACAAACAAGUUAAUACAUUGAUAGUAGCACAUUGAUACAUGAUCUGAUUCACAGGAGCAGUACAACAAUACUCAUUUAAUUUAGAGAGGUAGUACAAGUGAACUAGUCAAAGAAAAAAGAAAAUAUUUCAACUAAAAAACUGAGUAGCUAAGUAAGUCAGCACCUCUUCAUGUCGUGCCUUGGUAACUUCAUCAUAGCCUGUAGUGUCUUUAUAUAGCAACGCCAUGUACUUAUCCAUCAUCUGCAGCUUUGUCUUUCCCUUCUCAGCAUUUGCCAUUUUAUUAUCAGCUUCAGCUUUGGCUUGUGCAGCUUGUGCUUUGGCAAGGGUUGCUUCAGCCAUUUUUUCAGCAGCAAUAGCUUUUCUUAAUUGAAGUUCAUUGAAAAGGCUCACAUUUUCAUUUGAAAUAGUGUCUUCUGAAUAUACUGACUUGCCCUUUCCUUUUUGUUGAGCUUUGGAUGUAUUUCGCCCUGGUGGUCAGCACCCGGCUGCAGGGUCUGCAUCUUCGCUGUCUUGAUUUGAAGAAGAAUAAGCUCCUGAUGCAUUCAGCCUGCUUCUCUUGUUCAUCAUUUCUUCAAUUGGAUUCGCCACUAGCAUGCUCUCUCCUUGCCUUGUCAUAACAUCCAUUGAACUUGGUAAUAAAAGGUAUAGUCUUGUUCCAAUGGUUUUUCAACUUAGCUGCUGUUCUUCUUUGCUCUUUGGGUGCAUGCAAAUUGUACUCUGCUGCAACAUCCUUCCAGUACCUAUCUCCCCUUCUAUCAACUCCUUGAAUUGGAUCAUUAGAACACUUCAACCAAGCACUAACCUAAGGUUUUCCUCCUCUCCCCAAUUCACACGCCCUUCUUUCUUUUGACUUUCGUCAGGGCUGCUAUCACUCCUCUCACUCCAAUCUGCAGGGUUAGCAGGAUCUUCUUGUUGAAGUUGCUCUUGGGACACCGGAGAAGCUGAACCAACAGGGCUGCUCUCAUCAGCUCGUGAAGCACUAAUCGAUGAAUAGUUGCCGCACAGUGGUCGCUAGCGCUUGGUUCAUUGCUAGCUUGCACACUCACCGAUGCUGCUCACUCUCAAGUGCGCCCUUCCCAAGCGCCUGCUGCUCUCCUCUCUCUCCUCCAAAUCGCUGGCCCAAAUCGUCAGACCGCUAGAGACGCCCUAAGUGUUUUCGGAUGUGGGGCAAUUACAUGUGGAUCAUUUGAAUUUACAUGCUUGCAUGGCUUGUUUGGGAUGCGUGCA